rnacentral:rRNA from 1 species
CAAAGGCUUGGUCCUGACUUUACUGUCGACUUUAACUAAACUUACACAUGCAAGUAUCCGCCCCCCUGUGAGAAUGCCCACAACUCCCUGCUUGGGAACUAGGAGCCGGUAUCAGGCACAAGCCCCGCUAGCCCACGACGCCUUGCUUAGCCACACCCUCAAGGGAACUCAGCAGUGAUAAAUAUUAAGCCAUAAGUGAAAACUUGACUUAGUUAAGGUUAAGAGGGCCGGUAAAACUCGUGCCAGCCACCGCGGUUAUACGAGAGGCCCAAGUUGACAAACAACGGCGUAAAGAGUGGUUAGGGGAAUUACUAAACUAGAGCCGAACGCUUUCAAAGCUGUUAUACGCACCCGAAAGUAUGAAACCCAAUUACGAAAGUAGCUCUACCUGUCCUGAACCCACGAAAGCUAAGAAACAAACUGGGAUUAGAUACCCCACUAUG